rnacentral:tRNA from 1 species
AGUAGAGUGGCUGAGUUAAUGAGGUGAUAGAUUGUAAAUCUAUUAAGGGGAAUAUUUCCUUUCUACUA